rnacentral:misc_RNA from 1 species
CCAAUAGCGUAUAUUAAAGUUGUUGCAGUUAAAAAGCUCGUAGUUGAAUUUCGGGAUUGGCGCAUCGGUCGUGCCUCACGGGGUAUGAACUGGUGCAGUCAAUUUCUCACCUUCUGGAGAACCGCGAUGUCCUUAAUUGGAUGCCGCGGGGAACCAGGACCUUUACUUUGAAAAAAUUAGAGUGUUUAAAGCAGGCAUUUUUGCUUGAAUACAUUAGCAUGGAAUAAUAAAAUAGGACGGCAUGGUUCUAUUUUGUUGGUUUCUAGGACCACCGUAAUGAUUAAUAGGGAUAGUUGGGGGCAUUAGUAUUCAAUUGUCAGAGGUGAAAUUCUUGGAUUUAUUGAAGACUAACUACUGCGAAAGCAUUUGCCAAGGAUGUUUUCAUUAAUCAAGAACGAAAGUUAGGGGAUCGAAGACGAUCAGAUACCGUCGUGGUCUUAACCAUAAACUAUGCCGACUAGGAAUCAGACGAUGUUAAUUUUUUAAUGACUCGUUUGGCACCUUACG